ACCAACUGGAAAUUCGAGCUUCCAGCUUCUCAUUAAUGGUGGAUCACUGGUGAUCAUUGAUGAGCUGCCUUACGCCCCCAUUCAUUAUUGCUAUUGCCUCACAUCAUUCAGCCAACUCUCAUCAAAUUAGACAUUCAACUAUUCCAACUACUAAUGAAAAGUUUAUCUUCAAAUUUCCCAUGAAGAUUUUUCUCGACAAAUUAUCAACUUUAUAUUCAUGGGAAAGAAAAAUCUUCCCUUUAAAAUGAAAAAUUAGAUAAAUAAACAUGUUUUUCAAUUUUCUAAAUUUUCAUUCAAAAAUUGAAAAAGUAAAGAACUUGAAAAUAAAGAAGAAAAAAAAAAUACAGAAAACUUGGGUUUGAUUUGAGUUUGUUUUCAUCAGGCGUGAAGUUAUGAAUUUGUCCUAUAGCCUUAAAACGCAGCGUUGCGUUCUCUGCGUUCGCAUAACCAAUUGGCACCUUUGCAGUCUGUUUGGUUCGCAAGAAACGGCAAGAGAAAAUGGCACAAAUACAGAAACACUGGCAAUGCCUUUAGUGGCACCCACGUUAUCGCUAAUAUGCAACGGUCAGACAAGUAAUUAUCUCUCCAGCUUUGUCUCUCUUCCAAUCUCAAACUCUCCAAAGGCAAGUCUCGUUUUCUUUGAAGGAUUUAAUUGUUUUGGUCUUUUCAACCAUUUGGUUUUCUUAUUGAAGUUGUCAAUUUUUACAUAUUUUAUUAUAGGUUCAUUGUUUAAGUAUCCAGUGUGUUCGUGUUGGAGGUGCGGAGAUUCCUAACAACAGGAGAGUUGAAUACUCCCUUCUGUGCAGACAUCCAUGGAGCUGGCCGCUCAAGGGGUUCGCAAAAUCCUCUCUGAUCUUAGCAUGCACAACAAAAUCACCAAGGACUUGUUUGAUGAGGAGCUCUUUAUUCUUCGUGAUGAAGUCUCCAAGUUAAUAUGAUUGAAGGCGAUUUGGAAAUACUUCUCUUUUCUCCUCUCUCUUUCUAAAAUUCUUAUGUACCUUUUUAUUUUUUAUUAUUUCAGAGACGGUUCAACGCUCUCAAUAAUAUAAGGAGAUUGAAGGAGAUUAAGUGCUAUAGAGGGGUAAGACA
rnacentral:misc_RNA from 1 species